GGGCUCGUGGUCUAGCGGUUAUGACGCCUGCUUGACACGCAGGAGGUCCCCGGUUCGAAUCCGGGCGAGCCCA
rnacentral:tRNA from 1 species